GAUGAACGCUGGCGGCGUGCCUAAUACAUGCAAGUCGAGCGAACGGACGAGAAGCUUGCUUCUCUGAUGUUAGCGGCGGACGGGUGAGUAACACGUGGAUAACCUACCUAUAAGACUGGGAUAACUUCGGGAAACCGGAGCUAAUACCGGAUGAUAUUUUGAACCGCAUGGUUCAAAAGUGAAAGACGGUCUUGCUGUCACUUAUAGAUGGAUCCGCGCUGCAUUAGCUAGUUGGUAGGGUAACGGCUUACCAAGGCAACGAUGCAUAGCCGACCUGAGAGGGUGAUCGGCCACACUGGAACUGAGACACGGUCCAGACUCCUACGGGAGGCAGCAGUAGGGAAUCUUCCGCAAUGGGCGAAAGCCUGACGGAGCAACGCCGCGUGAGUGAUGAAGGUCUUCGGAUCGUAAAACUCUGUUAUUAGGGAAGAACAUAUGCGUAAGUAACUGUGCACAUCUUGACGGUACCUAAUCAGAAAGCCACGGCUAACUACGUG
rnacentral:rRNA from 1 species